UUUAAAAUAUGACGAGUGCAGAUAGCCUUAGCCAGGCUACAGCAAGCCAAAUCAACCUCUUGGCCUAGCUCCAUGGAAACGCGAGAUUCGGCCGUCUCCAGUUAGCCAGGCUUGUUCAAGAUGAAGAUGCUCCAACGACUUGUCUCACGUCACCUCUCGUGUGUCUACCACUCUACCUCUUUCUUCCUCCUUGUUCCUCGACAGCAACGGCAAACCUCGAUUCUUCCCCUUCGUUCCCCGACAGCAGCUCUGCACGCGGCGGCGGAGGUCCAGCUCCCGCACGCGGCGCCCGAGCUCAGACCCCCGCUCGCGGCGGGGGAGUACUCGGCUGCGACGGUGGAGCACCCGCACGAACACUGCGCCGAAGCUCGGCGCUCUCGCCCGCACGGCCGGAUGCGCUCCAUGCAGUCGGCGUCGCUCCCCACUCCACCCUCCCACAUGGCAGGCUCGCCUAGUGGAUGCGCUCCCCACGGCCGGCGGCGGAGCUCGCCCACGCGCACGGCCACGGUCAUAGCUCGCCCCAUGUGCGCGGCCUCGGCGGAGCUCACCCUCGCGCGAGGGGUGAGCAGGGCCCAGUACGGCCGGUGGCAGAGCUCUCCCGCGAACGUGGCCAGUAGCGUUCCUCCGUGCGCGUGGCCUCCUCUCCCCACCAAUCUACUGCCUCCUCUCUUCCGUAUCCAGCUGCUAAAAUUGAUCCUAGAAAUCGAUUACAUCGAAGAUUGGAGACUGGGUUGUCGAGGAAACUUGCCGGUGAGCAGGUAAACACGGUCGAGCUCGCCCUUGAAUCACGCGUUCUUCAUGUGCAGUAGCUGCUCCCUAGUGACACCUCCCUGAGCACGGAAGCUCCGCCAAAUUGACGCAGGUGAAUAUUCUUCUUGCUUGUUUUAGUUCACAAGGCCACAAACCAUGAGGUAGUAGCUAUAGUCAUCAUUAUUACCUCGGUUUAAUCAAAGGAGUACUCGCCUCAAACGCACCACUUGUAGCCAUUAGUUUAAGAUUAGCUUGCUGCUUUUCCGAAUGGAGAUUCAGUGCAUCUAGCACCGUCGCGGAGGGAGAUGAAGCGGUAACUUCACCUUCAACCAAGUACAAGAUAAUCCUACCAGCGUAUACAUCCAACCAAACAGGAGUUGGCCAAUGCAGGCUAUCGCAGGCCACCCAAACCAAACAGAACCACUAGUAUUGAUUUCGUCUGGACAAAGCUGGCCUGGUUUAAGAUCCUAGCCAGGCUACAACUAGCUACGAAACCAAACAGACCCUAUAUAAUCAGUAGAGGACCUCUGUUGCAUAUAAAAAGUGCCCAGUCAAAUAAAAAUAUCAAUAUAAUAGCAAGUAGUGUAUCAAUUUGCAUUGCUCAAGAACCAAAUAUCAAUACCUCUCAUCACCGUGAUAUUCAUCAUCUGUUUCCUAAAGAGAGCUCCCCUCUCCUUGCACGCUGCGCAGUGCCUCCACACGUGGCAGCUGGCCUUCGAUAAUUUUACAAAAAAAAAACCUUUUAAACUUCUUGAAAUCAGCUUGCAGUCCUCUUCCGUUCUGGCUCCAUGCGCCCCUGCCUUCAGCCUCCCUCCCAUGAAGAGCAGAAUGCCCUCUGUGACCCUGCAUGACUACUGUGCCAUAAUGCUCCGUCGGGCUUAGCAGUGGAGGCAAAAACGGAUAUGAGGUUCUGUAUGGAGGUUUGAUUCUGUGAUUAGGCAUGGGGAGGGCAGACAAUGACAGGUCGGUGCGCUGGUGAGCGAGGAGACGAUUGAUUGGGUUUAGGAUUCAUGAUUUGUUUCAAAAAUCUCUGAACUGUUUGUAUGUGUUGUCAAGAAUUUGUCUAUAGCUCGUUUCGAGCAUGUUUUAGGUCUCUGAGUUUAAGUGGUCUUAAAUGUUUUCUGUGACAUAUAAAACUUGUUUCUAUCACUUCAAACAGCAAAAAAUUUCGAUCUUGUGUGCCUUA